GAUGAACGCUGGCGGCGUGCCUAAUACAUGCAAGUCGAGCGAAUGGAUUGAGAGCUUGCUCUUAUGAAGUUAGCGGCGGACGGGUGAGUAACACGUGGGUAACCUGCCCAUAAGACUGGGAUAACUCCGGGAAACCGGGGCUAAUACCGGAUAACAUUUUGAACCGCAUGGUUCGAAAUUGAAAGGCGGCUUCGGCUGGCACUUAUGGAUCGACCCGCGUCGCAUUAGCUAGUUGGUGAGGGAACGGCUCACCAAGGCAACGAGGCGUAGCCGACCUGAGAGGGUGAUCGGCCACACUGGGACUGAGACACGGCCCAGACUCCUACGGGAGGCAGCAGUAGGGAAUCUUCCGCAAUGGACGGAAGUCUGACGGAGCAACGCCGCGUGAGUGAUGAAGGCUUUCGGGUCGUAAAACUCUGUUGUUAGGGAAGAACAAGUGCUAGUUGAAUAAGCUGGCACCUUGACGGUACCUAACCAGAAAGCCACGGCUAACUACGUGCCAGCCGCCGCAGUAA
rnacentral:rRNA from 1 species